GUCUUCGUGGUUCAGUCGGUAGAUCGCUCCUGUAUUGUUUGCGUAUUCUUUCUGACUGAGGGAGAGGCGCGGGUUCGAACCCCGCCGAAGACA